rnacentral:misc_RNA from 1 species
UUUUCUUUUAAAAAAAAAAAUAACUAGGAUAUCCUAUUUCCAUAUAAAUUGUAGCCUGCAAUAGACUGUAAUUUACAUAUAUAGUAAAAAAAAAAAAGAUCUCUACGACGAAGUGAGGAUAUAUAUAUAUAUAUAUAUUCUCUUAGUUGAAGACAUUCUUCAACAUGAGCUCUAUCAAUGCAAUAUAACAUGGAAUAUAAACAAUACUCUUACACAUCAUGUCUAUUGGCCUUAGCCUUUUCAAUGGAAUCCAUGGCUUCUUCAAAUGAUUUCCCAGAAUUGUGCAUUUUCCACAGUGCCUCCCUGCUCUUAUCUAUUAUCACCAUCCCGCCAAUUAAAGCACCAGCAAAGGCAAGAUUGAGAAGAAAAGCACGAGUGGUUAAGUAGCGAAGUGCAACAUCGAACUUGGAGACAAAACCACCAUCGGCUUUUCUAUUCUGGCUCUGAUAAGAAUGGUAAUUGUAGCCAUAACCGUAGCCAUAACCAUGAGCAUGUCUAUGAUUAUUAUAACCAGAGGAGAAUGAGGAGGAGGAGGAGCGAAUGUUAUAAUCGGCACGUUUCCGGUCAUCAGCGAGGAUUUGGUAGGCCUCGGAGAGUUGUUUGAAACGGAGGGUAGCGUUUUCUCUGACCAGUUGAGGAGAUUGGGAAUGCUUGUCAGGGUGAUAUUUGAGAGCCAAUCUCUUGUAGGCUUCUUUGAUUUCCUCUUUGGUUGCGUUCUUGUUCAACUCCAAUAUCUUGUAGUAAUCCAUUAUCUUCUUCUUAAUAAAUCAUCGAUCGUUUCGAUCGAUGGAAUGAACAAUGAAGUAGCUCAAAUCGAAGAACCUUGCUUUACGGAUUGAAGGGGGAGUCGCGGCACUUUCGACUCCCAUUCCUUCUAAGUUUUUUUUCUUUUUUUUCUUUUU